AUGUGCCUUUUUUGUCAAAGACAAAGAAAAGUGUACUAUGAAAGGAAAUAUGUGCCAUUUUUAUCAAAUGCCCUAUCCCACCCCCACCCAUGUGUUUCUCCCAAGUCAUCUGCCCUUCCCAUGCUGCCUUUGCCUCCUUCCUGCAUCACCAGAUCAUCAUCGAUGUCGGCCGCACCCGCACCAUUGUCCCAUCCACUUCUUCAUCCUCGUAUCCUACUCCCUGCAAGUGUCCAAGCAAUGGCCAACGAUGACCCGAGCUAUUUUUCUAUCUCCCGUUGCAAUGCACGGGCAUUUUUGCUAGUAAUCCCCUAA
rnacentral:rRNA from 1 species